rnacentral:rRNA from 1 species
CGGCGAGCGAAACGGCAGGAGGGCAAACCGAGAAGUUUACUUCUCGGGGUUGUAGGACUGCGACAUGGGACUUUAAAAGGAUAGAAGAAUUACCUGGGAAGGUAAGCCAAAGAGAGUAAUAGCCUCGUAUUUAAAAUUCUUUUGAGCCCUAGCAGUAUCCUGAGUACGGCGAGACACGCGAAAUCUCGUCGGAAUCUGGGAGGACCAUCUCCCAACCCUAAAUACUCUCUAGUGACCGAUAGUGAACCAGUACCGUG